rnacentral:rRNA from 1 species
UACAGAGGGUGCGAGCGUUGUUCGGAAUUAUUGGGCGUAAAGGGCGCGUAGGCGGUGCGGUAAGUCACCUGUGAAAUCUCCUGGCUUAACUGGGAGCCUGCAGGCGAAACUACCGUGCUGGAGUGUGGGAGAGGUGCGUGGAAUUCCCGGUGUAGCGGUGAAAUGCGCAGAUAUCAGGAGGAACACCGGUGGCGAAGGCGGCUCUCUGGUACGGCACUGACGCUGAGACGCGAAAGCGUGGGGAGCGAACAGG